UAGUCCACGCCGUAAGCGAUGUCAACUAGCCGUUUGGGACACUAAGUCCUUGGUGGCGCAGCUAACGCGAUAAGUUGACCGCCUGGGGAGUACGCCGGCAACGGUAAAACUCAAAGGAAUUGACGGGGCCCGCACAAGCGGUGGAGCAUGUGGUUUAAUUCGAUGCAACGCGAAAAACCUUACCUACCCUUGACAUCCUCAGAACUUGUUAGAGAUAACUUGGUGCCUUCGGGAACUGAGUGACAGGUGCUGCAUGGCUGUCGUCAGCUCGUGUCGUGAGAUGUUGGGUUAAGUCCCGCAACGAGCGCAACCCUUGUCCCUAGUUGCCAGCAUUUCGGAUGGGAACUCUAGGGAGACUGCCGGUGACAAACCGGAGGAAGGUGGGGAUGACGUCAAGUCAUCAUGGGCCCUUAUGGGGUAGGGGCUACACACGUGCUACAAUGGUCGGUACAGAGGGUUGCCAAGCCGCGAGGUGGAGCUAAUCUCAUAAAACCGAUCGUAGUCCGGAUUGGAGUCUGC
rnacentral:rRNA from 1 species